CUGCUGUAUGGGGGAAGGACACUGCUGGUUGUUACCAGCUGUGCUUUAAAGACAGGAAUUCCUGUUGCUGGUAAAGUUUAGGUCACAGCUCUUCUGAAAUCACUGUCUUUAUUCUCUGGUUUGGGUUAUGAAGGCCUUGCCUGUGGCUCUUGUUUCAACAGCUCAACGCACCAGGGAUGAGCUGUCCUCGAGAAGAACCCCUGCAUCUGCCUCUCAUGGCAAGUGGUCCAGGCAGUGACAUACCCAUGUUAGCAGUUCCAGGUGGGUGUGUUACGUGUAUUUGAAGUCUUCUCUCUUGUCCUCUGCAGUGUACUAGAACCUACACGUGCUCUGUAUAACUCGUUUCCUACCUGCUCCCCUUGUAAUGUCCAGUUUUCCUAAUAAACAUCUUUUGAAGUCA